AAUUUGUCUUAUACACCUGAAGUCUUGGCAUUAGCUGUGUAUUCAAAGUGGACGCGGUCACACGCAAAUCACCCGGAAGAUAUAUAUCGUAGCUCGCAGAGAGCGGACCAAGUAUGCGUAUGACCUGCAAUACAGAGUAGAGUAGAGAAGUCAAAUCCAAGCGAGCACCUACGUAGAAAAGUUAUACGUAGGCCAAGCGUUGAUUAGUCCUGCAGAUUCUAAUAAAAUUCGCGAUUAUGCUCUGUUGACCAAUAUUGUUCUAGCUCGCUCUCUCAGCAAAAAAGAAAAAAAAAAACUCUCAAGAAGCAAGAAGAGGGAAGCCGUGGAACCAUGUAGAGGAAGAUGAAGUAUCAAAAAGUAAUUGCGGAUCUUUUUCUACUCCUACUCCUACAUUUUAAUAGCCACGUGCAUACUAGGUAGCCGAUGCGAUUUUUUAUUUUUUAACAGCAAGUAUAGAACUAGAUUCCACACAAGAAACAACAUGAUGACCUGUGAGUCCAUGUAAGGGUUGCUUUAGUUGGUGAAGAAAGGGACCCUAGUUUGCACUCAUAAGCGCUGGAAUGCCCUUCGAUGUAUAGCGAGUAAUGAGCAUUUGGAUUUUUCAUCGCAAAACCAAUUAACAGAGAAGGAAGCAUUGCACCGGCCUUUGAUACUGGUUCAGUUCAUCACUACCGGUUUGAACAGAAGCAGGAAGUGAUGGUGGCAUCACUAGUUCACUACUGGUUCAAUGUUAUAAGUCUGGAUCAAUCAUUGGGGUGGCAAAGAACCGGUUCUUGUCUAGAACGUAGUGGUUGUCCGAGGAACCACUACCGGUUUGUGACAGACAGACGCAUAAGUACUGUGUAGUUCAUACUACUACUACUACUACUACUACUACUACUACUUCUUGGUGUUACAAUCUGGUAGAGUGAAAUUGCAUUUGGUGGCCAGAGGUUUUGGGAUGUUCGAAUCAACAUAAGCACUCACCAGUCACCACUACAACUCCACAGAUAUAGACGCUAAUAAUGGCCUGGCACGUUGCAGACGUAUUAGGGCAGCUCCAAUGUGUGAUAAAAUCGAACCAUGGUCUACCCAAACCGAACAAAGCAAAUAGUGACGGUCGAUGUUUAGUUGUCAGGUCGAAAAUCGACCAUAGAACUCAGUUCGACGCGAGGACAACAAAAUAAUCAUCAACAAUGCAGAUGUGGCGGGAUCCGUAACCAGCACAACUGCGAUCCUGUUCUUUCCCACCACCCCAGGAACAAAGAAGAUCGAAACGAAGAGAAAAAUUGAUCCGAAUGCUUUAAAGAAACAGGCUAACAAAUAGAAAAGGAAAUUGAUCUGAAAUGUUUCUUGGACUUGGAAAAAAACAAAGAAAUCGAUCCAGGUCUGCAUGUAUCUGGACCAAGAACCACCUUGAUGUACAGGUCAUGGCGGAUGACUAGGAGCAUAUCCUCCUCGGCGACGGCGACGUGAUCAACCGGACGGGAGCCGCGUGAUUGAGCGGGUUGAGCCUGACGAGCAUCGCCUCCACGAGCGCUCAUCUCCUCGGUUGGCCCAGUAGCGCGACUGCGAGCCGUAUGAGCGCUGCGAAGGACCUGAUCUACUUGGAUCCGCAGCUGGUUGGCUCGAUCUGCUCUCAUCCAUGGCUACACUUCAAGAUGCAUCACCGGAUUGGAAGGUGGGGAAGGGAGAGGCGAAAGAAAGAGAACGAGAUACGGACCAGCGCUGGCCG
rnacentral:lncRNA from 1 species